ACAGAGCCAUCCCAACUCAAUCAAUUUAUUAAGAUAUUGUGGCACAGUGUGUUCAUGCAGUGCUGUAAGAGAGUGGUUUGCAAACCCUGGAGGAGAGUCUGCAAGCAAGAUGAGAGCAAGGGUCCCAGCGGCUUUGUUCAAGAAAUGUCCGCUCAAUCAGUGUCACGGAGAGCAGCAGCAGAGGUACUUCGUUUCUGGGACAUUCAUCAUCUUCAUCUUAGGCCAUAUUAUCCUCCUCUCAAAUGAGUGGGCUGGCACAAGAGGCUUGAAGAUAGCACAACUCAGAUAGUUGACCCAAAUUGACCACAGGGAUAUUCCAUAAUGCACCAUGCUCAGCAAAAAAAAAAUCUCAGGAAGAGGAGGACAAGAAAAAAAAUGGAAAACAACAGAAUGAACUCCAAGGACAGAGAAGGAAG